rnacentral:rRNA from 1 species
AUUGAACGCUAGCGGGAUGCCUUACACAUGCAAGUCGAACGGAGUGGCGGACGGGUGGGUAAUGUAUCGGUAGGUGCCCAGUAGCGGGGGAUAACUAAGCGAAAGCGUAGCUAAUACCGCCUACUCUUGGAGCGGCCGAUAUCGGAUUAGCUAGUUGGUGGGGUAACGGCUCACCAAGGCGACGAUCCGUAGCUGGUUUGAGAGGAUGACCAGCCACACUGGGACUGAGACACGGCCCAGACUCCUACGGGAGGCAGCAGUGGGGAAUUUUGGACAAUGGGGGAAAGCCUGAUCCAGCCAUCCCGCGUGUGGGAUGAAGGCCUUCGGGUUGUAAAGCACUUUCGGCAGGAAAGCGGUACCUGCAGAAUAAGCACCGGCUAACUACGUGCCAGCAGCCGCGGUAAUAC